AAGCCCAGUGUCAGUGAAGAUGGUGUGGUCAGUGGAAUUCUUCCAGCAUUUAUCACCAUGUUGACCUGAUGAUUGAGGUGGUGACAAACUGUUUGAUGUGAGACAGAAAGAGAGUGACAGCUGUGAACUAACAGAAGGGAGAAAGAGAACGCAUAGAGACAGGCGAAGAGUGAUGGAGACAGCGAGGAUGAGAUGGAUGCAACACCAACAUCAUGACUACAAAAAGAGAAAAUGUCAUCCAAAUUUGAAUGAUGCAUCAUGUCCUGUUUGACAUUACAGUAAUUCACACAUUUUAAUUUUGACUGUUCAAUGAUGCACACAAAAACAUACUAUUUAAGGGCAACCAAAAAUGCUUAACUACUUGCUGAAACCAACCUUUAGUGCUACAUUAACAUUUGUCAUAUUUUCAGUUU